AUCGCUUCUCGGCCUUUUGGCUAAGAUCAAGUGUAGGAAUACAUUUAUUUCUCUAUACCUUUUGGGAAUCUGUUUCAAUUUUCAGGGAUUUGAUUCUCCAAGUUUAUCACCUCCCAAUUAGAGCAACAAUGAAUCUUACUGUACAUAUACAUGGGUUAUUUGUUCUUUGAU
rnacentral:snRNA from 1 species